rnacentral:rRNA from 1 species
UACGUAGGGUGCGAGCGUUAAUCGGAAUUACUGGGCGUAAAGCGUGCGUAGGCGGUUCGCUGUGUCCGAUGUGAAAGCCCCGGGCUUAACCUGGGAAUGGCAUUGGAAACUGGCGGGCUUGAGUGCGGGAGAGGCGAGUGGAAUUCCUGGUGUAGCGGUGAAAUGCGCAGAUAUCAGGAGGAACACCAAUUGCGAAGGCAGCUCGCUGGAACGUGACUGACGCUGAGACGCGAAAGCGUGGGGAGCAAACAGG